rnacentral:lncRNA from 1 species
AUUUCACACCUGGAUGUGCUCACUCAACCAAGAAUAUAGAGAAAGAGCUUCUGCCCUGAGACUCAGAAAAAUAUUCUCCUGUGCUUUGGUUCAGUAUAGAUUUCUAAACCCUGAUCAUUGCUUAAGAGAUAUUCACUGAGGACAGAGUCUUGCUCUAUUGCCCAGGCUGCAACUGGUGUGAUCUCGGCUCACUACAACCUCUGCCUCCUGGGUUCAAGCGAUUCUCCUGCCUCAAGCUCCCAAGUAGCUGGGAUUACAAGCAUGCACCACCAUGCCUGGCUAAUUUUUGUAUUUUUAGUGGAGACGGGGUUUCGCCACAUUGGCCAGGGUGGUCUUGAACUCCUGACCUCAAGUGAUCCACCUGCCUUGGCCUCCCAAAGUGCUGGGAUUAUAAGCAUGAGCCACUGCACCCAGCCUUAUACUGAACUUUCAAUGGGUUCAAUUCCACUAGGAGCAUAAAGGCCACUGCAUAUGAGUUGUGGAAAGAAGAGAUUAGAAGAAGGAAGAACUUGAGAUGAGUUCCUCCCUUCAACAUUCUGUCUCCUCCUACCUAGCAUCUUCUUUCUUUUAGUCUUUCUAGAAUGUCCAUCUGUUUUUGGCCAUUGCGGAGAGAGAAGCUGAGCUUUAAAGGAGUAGGAGCUUCAAAGGCGUAGGAGCUUCAAAAUUCUUGUUUCUUCAUGUUUGAUCACCCUUCUAAACCUGUCUUCUGUUCCUUCUGCUAUUCUUUUUUCUUAGAGCAUAGGAAAGGGGAGCUUUUAAAUUAAUACUUAAAGCAUGGAAAAAAAGAACUUGAGAAGAAAGUAAAACAAGGGAGAUGAGGCUAGUAAAGUAAGGAAAAUGAAGAGGAAGAGGAGGAAGGGUUAGCUUCUAAAUUCCAAGUCAAAUUGAUAUGGAACAGGCAAGCCGCUUGUCUUACUUAAACUUCAGAAAAGGAUCUGCUGAAACUUGAUAGAAAUGGAAAGGGAAAUCCUUGGGGUGGGGAACCUCCAAACAUUAGUAAUGAUAUUGAACAACUCAAAGUAUUGAGGAAAUCUGCAGGCUACAUGCCUGAAGAUUACCCAUGCAGAUAGACCAAAAGGAUUAGAAUUAUCUGUUGAUAUUAGUAAUAUUUAUUGACAUCUAGCUAGUAUUGGUAAUUUUAAGUUUUAGAUUAAUUUCUUUGGUAAUAGCUAUGAUAUAUUUUAUAGACAAGAAUUAUAUCUAUAGGCUUGCUAUCAUAGGCUCUUUUAAUCAGCAUUAAUUUAGUCUACUGAUUUUUAGCACAUUUGAAUCAUUCACUUAUGCUAGGUAACUCAUUGCAAAAUAAAAAGAUGAUUCCUGUAUGUAUGGCAGCUAUACAUUAAGGAGGAGUCUACCAGAAUAUGAAAAAGUCAGCUGACCUAAAUAUUGCUGAGACAAAGGAAAACCCACUCCCUUGGAGGAGCAUGACCUUUUCCUGUAAUUCUUCCCACUGCUGUUGUUGAGCUCCUUGGAUCCUGGCUCCUGGACACCAUCAUCAAGAAGACUUUAUGGAUGGGCUGUCCACCCACUGAGAGAAGAGGAGCAUCAGCUACAGUUUCUCUCUAGAUUGCCUUCUUCAUUUUGAGUAAUGACUGUCAGCAGGGUCAGAUUAAACACAAAACAACUGGACAAUUGCUUGGAGGACUAAACUAUAAGGGCACUAACAUGUCAAUAGUAGGCUAACACAUCCAUGGAAAAUAUAUUUACCAGCUCUUCUCUCAGGGAGGAUUCUGUGUGGGGUUGGAAGUAAUGAUUUGUUAAAUUCCUUAGGGGUAGAAAGUAGGGCAUAAUCAGAAUAUAGAGGAAUAUGCUGUUUGACUUCAGGGUUUCUGUUUUUCUUACUAGGAUAUAUAAAACAGGGACUCUAGCUAGAUUGUUUAUGACCACAGAGGGUAGGCUGAGUGCUCCCAUGAUCUUCCUGCUUGGUUCUUGCCCAUACAGAGGUCAGCCUUUCCUCUAAUAAAGAUUGAACAAGUAGUGGUCUGAGGGAGACACCAAUUCAUUACCCUACAUGUCUCUUCUCUGCACUCCAGGGCUUUGAUAAUAAAGACACUGGCAGACUAUCUAUCUUCCAUUUCUAUAAUGUGAGCCCUUAGGGAGUCUUCGUUCACUUGGGGGUGAGGGUCAUUGCUCACAGAGUAGUUCAAGUCAAAUGGAACUUGAACUCUUUGCCUAUGGGCCUGGUGGUCAGACUCUGUGUUGAGUUCAUUAGAUUAUUGGAGACACAAGGUAGAGCUGGAUGCUUCAAAAAUAUUUGGCUAAAGGAUGACAUUGCUGGUUAUUUGUAGAUAAAGCCAUGAUGGAACCUGCUUGGAAUCAUGAAAUAUGGAACUGGUGGUCAUGUUUAAAAAUACAACUAAUAGUUAAGUACCUACUGGACACUGUAGAGACUUAGGGGCUAGACAGACAUGGUUCCUGCCCCCUUGGAGCUUACACUGUAGCUUCCCCUUAGGUAUGAAGAACAGUGGCUACAACUAACAAAUGGCCACAAAGAUAUAAUUGAGCCAGUGUUCCAAUUAUUAGGGUAAUUCCUAUUUCCUUAAUCAUUCCUAUUGACCAUGUUCUAUAAGCCUGCAUUCUAUAAAUGGCGUAUGACCAUGGGCUGUUUCCCCCCAGCAAGUUGUACAAAGUUCUGUGGUACCAGGGAAAGGGCUUAAGGUUAGCAGGGCCUCUGCGGAAGGACAUAUGAAGUGACUUGGGUUAGGAAACAGGAAGGGAUAGGAUUCAAGAACAGCUAUUGCUUCUGUUCUAUAUAGGAAACUGCAGCGUGAAAAAUGCUGGGCUGGGAAUUUUGAGACCUGGGUUUUAGUUUGUGUUCUAAUACUAACAAGCUAUGUGACUGUGGGUAAGUCAUUUCACAUUCCAUUUGGAUGCCUCUUGAGUGACUCCAGGCCUCUCCAGCUCUAAAACAUUAAGAUCAGGCCCUACGCUACAGCUGGCCAGUGUGUAAUUCUUCUGUUUCUAUGCUGUUAGGUCAAAUAGAUCUUCAAUAGUUACUUGAUUGUUAUUACUUUUUUCUGAAGUGGGUGUUUUAUCAAUGUUUUAGGAUACAGUGAGUCUGCUUCUCCCCUUUGGAGUUAGGAAGGUUGUAGGAAUAUACACUGUAGAGCAUAUGGGAGCUUUAUCCCCUCCUUUUUUCCCCGCUACCUUUCUCCCUCUCCUUCCCUUCAUCACAUUUCUAUUGAGCAUAUGCCAUUGCCGUGUACCAGGUGUGUGCUAGGUUUGGAGAUACAAGGUAAACCUGAGACUUUCCCAGUCUCCAGGAGACAAAACCCUAAUUUCUUUCAUCUGCUGUCUUUCUCUUUGGAAAGAAUCAACGAUAUCCCAGGGGAAUGUGCCCAUGUCCCAGGGUAACCAACUACAGACAGAUGCCCCAUUCUACUCAAGCAACUUUUAGAGUGCCUUGAGAUACACAUCAGAUAAUUAUGCAGGGCCAGGCAUGGUGCUGCACACUUGUAAUCACAGCACUUUGGGAGGCCGAGGCAGCAGAUUGCUUGAGCCCAGGAAUUCAAGUGUAGCCUAGGGAACAUGGCAAAACCCCAGCUCUACAAAAAAAUACACAAAUUAGCUGCGUGUGGUGGCCUAUGACAGGAGGCUGAGAUGGGAGGAUUGCUUGAGCCUGUGAGGUCGAGGCUGCAGUGAGCCGAGAUCAUGCCAUUACUCCAGCCUGGGUGACAUAGGGAGACCCUGUCUUGAAAAAAAAAAAAAAAAGAUAAUUAUUCAGCCCUAGAGUCAUUGUGAAAAGAUCUAUCUUCAGAUAUAAGGAAGAAACAAUCUUUUAUUUCUUAGGAUAAAUCUGUAGAAGGACCUCCAGACAGUGAAGGCCACUGACUACUUUAUACUCUGUAAGCCAUCCCUCCCUGGUAGGAAGGACUAUUUCCAAUCUUACAGAGUACCUCUCAGCAAAUAGACGUUUUCACAUAUACUGUGAUUCAUACAUCCCUAUGGCUGGUGACCUCUUUAAAAAGGAAAGGAAAAAGCCUAAUCAAACAAAAAGAUGCUGCUAGUAAUUCUUACCCUAUUGUGAAUCCUAUAUAAGCAAAUUUGUAUCUUUGUUUUUUCCUACAUUAGCAGAUCUAUUUGAUGUAUAUCUCUGAGUGCAGAAAAUAUUUUAUGGAAAAAUCAAUAUAUGGAAUUUCAAAUUCAGAAUUGCUGAUACACACUAUUUGGUUUCACAAUUUUAUCCUAGGAAAUAGUAUUAGAGAUUUCAAUUUCUGGCUUAAAUGGUAGAAUUAAUUACUCUUAACUCUUAAUUUUACUUCUGAGUUGAGGUCAAGGAACAGGCAGACACCUGCAGUUAACGUCUAUACCUCUCCAUGGCCAAGAGUUUUAAUUUUCUCGUCUUCAAUUUUGUAGAUGUUCAUCAUUACUAAAUGGAUUGAUUAGUAUUUUAUCUCCUCUCCUUGUCCUUACUUUCCCUCUGGUAAAUAUGUUAUAAACAGUGUAAGGCUCCUAAGAUAGAGUAGCUGGUAGGACUUAGAAGAGAAACAAAGGGCACUGAUAACUCACAUAAAUGGAAAAUUGGCUCUGGAAUAACUGACAACAUAUUCAAGUAUUUUAGUGCAGUGUCACUCUCAUUAAGAAGAAGAGAAUCAGUAAAUCUAUGUGACUCUAAACAUUCUAAUGAAAAAAGGAAUAUUCUGCCAAUUAUCUCACAUUUCUAAAUAUCUGGAUAUUGGCCAUUGUAAAGACAAAACAUACAGAUGAUGGACUUGUCUUUCCACCUCUCAUUUGCAUGGUUUGGAGCAUUGUACCUCCAGCCAUAGACUCUAAGGCAAUUUAUAUUUGCUUCCUCUUCCCUCUUGAGAGAAAACGAAAAUCUUAUUUUUCCAAGCAAUUAAAACUCUUCUGCUUCAGCUAGGAUGAAAGAAUUAGGAGUUCUGUCUCCUUGUAUCUAAUUGCAUGUUUCAUCUUUCUUGUUUUAAUGAUUGACAGAAAACUAAUAAACUGAGACAUCUUUGAAUCCAGGUUGAAUGUA